AUUGAACGCUGGCGGCAGGCUUAACACAUGCAAGUCGAGCGGGGGAAGGUAGCUUGCUACCGGACCUAGCGGCGGACGGGUGAGUAAUGCUUAGGAAUCUGCCUAUUAGUGGGGGACAACAUCUCGAAAGGGAUGCUAAUACCGCAUACGUCCUAUGGGAGAAAGCAGGGGAUCUUCGGACCUUGCGCUAAUAGAUGAGCCUAAGUCGGAUUAGCUAGUUGGUGGGGUAAAGGCCUACCAAGGCGACGAUCUGUAGCGGGUCUGAGAGGAUGAUCCGCCACACUGGGACUGAGACACGGCCCAGACUCCGACGGGAGGCAGCAGUGGGGAAUAUUGGACAAUGGGGGGAACCCUGAUCCAGCCAUGCCGCGUGUGUGAAGAAGGCCUUAUGGUUGUAAAGCACUUUAAGCGAGGAGGAGGCUACUUUAGUUAAUACCUAGAGAUAGUGGACGUUACUCGCAGAAUAAGCACCGGCUAACUCUGUGCCAGCAGCCGCAGUAA
rnacentral:rRNA from 1 species